rnacentral:snRNA from 1 species
AUACUUACCUGGCAGGGAUGAUACUAUGAUCACAAAGGUAGUUCGUCUACGGUGAGGCUUUGCCAUUGCACUGCGGUAAUGCUGACCUGUACGAAUUCCUCACAUGUAGGAAUCUCGACUGCACAAUUUGUGGUAGUGGGGGACUGCGUUCGCGCUCUCCCCUC